CAUAAAUAUAAUAUAAUAGUAUACAUUAGUAGGCCAACAAUGGGCCACUGCAAACCUAUGUUAGACAAAAAGAAACGAUGAAAUUCAAGAUACCCAAGAAGGGAGCUCAAAAAGACUUCUGGGGGUGCUGUUACAUAGAAUGAUUUAAAAAUAAAUGAUUUGAGUUGAACAUCAAUUACAUAGAUUGAAAUCGUGUUUAAGCCAUUGGAGCUCUCAACCUAUGAAAUGCUAAAACACGUUUUGUAACAUGGAAUGCUUAAAUGAAUGAUGUUUAAGCAUUCCAUUCCAUGUAACAAAACACGUUUUCACGAAUGAUUUAAACACGCUUUGCGCACACGUUUCGUUAGCUGAGGAUGUCAAGUGGAGAAAAGCCAGGUCCUGUCAAUCUCAACAUAGUCUCAUUAAUAGUAUUCCUACAACUCAUGUAUUAUUACCAGCCAUUUUUGUUUGAUAAAAAGCCAAUUCUUGGAAACAUGAUUCACUUUCACCAGGCAAUGUUGUUGCAUUAUCAGUUCUUUUACCAGGACUAGGUAAUGCAUUGCAAUAAUUUUUGAGAAAGAUAACAAGAAGAUUUCCGUUCCUUAAAUGACAGAAACUGCCCAAUCUCAUAUUACUCGUCAGAUCAAGCUCUAUUUUAGCCUCUAGGUGAAUGACAUUAGCUGAGAACUUCAACCAAAGUCUGCCAAAAUGCACAAGAAUACCUAUAAUCCAAUCUCUCAAUAUUCGAAAUGAAUUUUGUACCUAGCAGAUUUCUUUAACAUAUUUCUCUGUUUCUAGAACACAACAUUCCAUCAUUCCACCUCCCAGUUCACGCCUUAUUUGCGACAAACAACGAAAUGUUAUGCUUUCGGGUAGCAUGCCUCAUCAAGUGAACAUGGGUACAAAUCUUUACGUCUUUGCCAGCAGAUUAAUGUUGUGUGUAUUCCUCGUGAACAGAAAUACUAUUGCCUCAUG
rnacentral:misc_RNA from 1 species